rnacentral:rRNA from 1 species
UAGGUGACCUAUCUUUCAGUGAGGAAUACCGGCGAGAAAUCGCCGACAAGACCGCAUACGUUCCUUGGCACAACUGAGGAAGAAAGUCUCGCAAGAGACGCUGGAAGCUGGGCCUGUGGCCGAUUAGCUCGUUGGUGGGGUAAGAGCCUACCAAGGCGACGAUCGGUAGCUGGUCUGAGAGGACGAGCAGCCACACUGGGAUUGAGAACGGCCCAG